GACGAACGCUGGCGGCGCGCCUAACACAUGCAAGUCGAACGAGCGAGAGAGAGCUUGCUUUCUCGAGCGAGUGGCGAACGGGUGAGUAACGCGUGAGGAACCUGCCUCAAAGAGGGGGACAACAGUUGGAAACGACUGCUAAUACCGCAUAAGCCCACGGUGCCGCAUGGCACAGAGGGAAAAGGAGUAAUCCGCUUUGAGAUGGCCUCGCGUCCGAUUAGCUAGUUGGUGAGGUAACGGCCCACCAAGGCGACGAUCGGUAGCCGGACUGAGAGGUUGAACGGCCACAUUGGGACUGAGACACGGCCCAGACUCCUACGGGAGGCAGCAGUGGGGAAUAUUGCACAAUGGGGGAAACCCUGAUGCAGCGACGCCGCAUGGAGGAAGAAGGUCUUUGGAUUGUAAACUCCUGUUGUUGGGGAAGAUAAUGACGGUACCCAACAAGGAAGUGACGGCUAACUACGUGCCAGCAGCCGCGGUAAAACGUAGGUCACAAGCGUUGUCCGGAAUUACUGGGUGUAAAGGGAGCGCAGGCGGGAAGACAAGUUGGAAGUGAAAUCUAUGGGCUCAACCCAUAAACUGCUUUCAAAACUGUUUUUCUUGAGUAGUGCAGAGGUAGGCGGAAUUCCCGGUGUAGCGGUGGAAUGCGUAGAUAUCGGGAGGAACACCAGUGGCGAAGGCGGCCUACUGGGCACCAACUGACGCUGAGGCUCGAAAGUGUGGGUAGCAAACAGGAUUAGAUACCCUGGUAGUCCACACCGUAAACGAUGAUUAUUAGGUGUUGGAGGAUUGACCCCUUCAGUGCCGCAGCUAACACAAUAAGUAAUCCACCUGGGGAGUGCGACCGCAAGGUUGAAACUCAAAGGAAUUGACGGGGGCCCGCACAAGCAGUGGAGUAUGUGGUUUAAUUCGACGCAACGCGAAGAACCUUACCAAGUCUUGACAUCCCUUGACAGGCAUAGAAAUAUGUUUUCUCUUCGGAGCAAGGAGACAGGUGGUGCAUGGUUGUCGUCAGCUCGUGUCGUGAGAUGUUGGGUUAAGUCCCGCAACGAGCGCAACCCUUAUGGUCAGUUACUACGCAAGAGGACUCUGGCCAGACUGCCGUUGACAAAACGGAGGAAGGUGGGGAUGACGUCAAAUCAUCAUGCCCUCUAUGACUUGGGCUACACACGUACUACAAUGGCGUUAAACAAAGAGAAGCAAGACCGCGAGGUGGAGCAAAACUCAGAAACAACGUCCCAGUUCGGACUGCAGGCUGCAACUCGCCUGCACGAAGUCGGAAUUGCUAGUAAUCGUGGAUCAGCAUGCCACGGUGAAUACGUUCCCGGGCCUUGCAC
rnacentral:rRNA from 1 species